GCCUGACUGGCUCAGUCAGUAGAGCACGUGACUCUUGAUCUCAGAGUCGUGGGUUCAAACCCUAUGUUGGGCA
rnacentral:tRNA from 1 species